rnacentral:other from 1 species
AGAUAGUAUUUCUUGCUCGGCUAACACAAAAAGCAAGGAAGCCAGAUUUAAACAAUCGCGGUGUGCAUGCUUAACUCGUAUUAAGAAGCCUGAAGCGGUUGAAGAGGCAUCCACUUUAUAUACCAGAACCGUAGCAAGAAUACUAUCGA